GUGUGUUGAAUUACGGUUCAGACUAGUAGUACAGUGUUAUGUGGUGUAUGCUAUGAUUGUGGGUUAGGCUUCAAGAUGGUGACGAAAUUUAGUUCAAUUUAGACAUGAGUAGAAGGAAAUAUCAACGGCCUUGUUAGAAUUUGAAGAUGGAUCAAUAAGUAUGGUUUUUAGGGAAAAGGAAUAGUUGAUAGAAUAUUUUAGAAGUGCGUCUAAGUUUUAAGUAAGGUGAUGCAUUUCCUAAAGCCAAGUAAAUUCUAACCCCCCCC
rnacentral:lncRNA from 1 species